CUUCCCUUUCCCACCCCCAGCUCACCCUGGAAGUCGAAGUCAGUGAGUGAGGGAUUGAUGGCAUCCAGAACCUCUGGUGGAUCAACACACUUUUCCACUCCUGGACAGACCACUCCGGCCAACUUGCCCACUCCUCAUCUGAUGGCAGCCCAGCAGGAUAAACUUAUUUGAACAUCAAGCGUCAAAUUAUCCCCAGGCAGGACCAUAGAUGGUGGGGGCAGGAAUCACCCCCUGGCAGGUGGAGCUGAGUUCUGGAUUACCCGGGUCUCAGCAACUGCCCACUGCCUGGGUGACAGAUGAGAUUUGUGUCUACUAGGGCUUGGAGAAGGCACUCCUCACACACAAUCUCUGGUCUCCCUGAUACCCAUCCCAGGAGAAGGGGGUCUGUGCUGGAGGGUCUAGGUGGCACGCAGAGAGGGGUGUGCAAAGCCAAAUAGCUUGAUCCAGUAACUGAUCCCAUCUACUGUGCGACCUUAGGGGAAUGGACCACCCUGUCUGAUGUGUUUGUCCACCUUGGGAGAAGAGCCCCUGUCCUGCCUCUAGAGAGGGAGCUGGGUAAGGCUCCCAGAAGCGCCUUCUGUGAAUGAUAGAAAUGAGAUUCUGCCCAAGGGGUUGGGGGAGAGUCAGGUGAGCCAGCCUGGGACACUCAAAGACUGGGAAGCCCACACCCCGCUUUCUGGCAGAACUGCAGCUGAGCCUGCCACCCACAGAGAUAGAUCCUAAUCUCACCUUGGAAGGCAAUGGCUUCUUCAGCCCCGACCUCCCAGUCACCGUGGCUGACUAGCUUCUCCAGCCCCACAGCAUCCCAGCGGUCGGGGUAGCAAUAGUGUCUUAUUUCUUCUCCAACUUUCUCUUCCCACUUGGGGUAGGUGGAUGCUCCCUGAGGCCCAUCGGUGCUACCUUGCCCACCUUCCCCAGCAGAAGGUCUGACUCCAGUCUGCUGUGCAACCUUGGAUGAGCCACUUGGGCUCUCUGUUCCCCACUUGGAGCACCUUUUGUAGGAACUCUGUCCUUCUGAGGUGGAGACAACGGAAAGCAUGGUGGGGGUAAGCCCUCUCCUGGCUUUCGUUCUAAUUCUUCUCCCACCUCCAGACAGAAGCCUCUGCUCAGAGAGGCCUGGCCUGUCCAGGACUUGGGGGUGAUGGGAUGGGGAGGAAUCUUGGGCUCACCUUGAAGUAAGGAAAGUGCUCCGUCAUAAAAUUGUAGAUCUCGCUGACGGGAAGGCUCCCAGUUUUACUGUUCUUAAGGGCCAUGAAGAUGAGGAUGCUGAAGAAAGAGAAAGCCCCUGAGAGUCCGAACCUCUGACUGGGUCCUGAGCCCACCCCAAGCCCCCCACCCCUGGUGAGAGGCUCUAUGGGAUUGGAGGUGAAAGAGAAGGGAAUGAGAAGGUGUCCAUUGAAGUGAGCACGGAAGUCAGGAAUUACAGACGUGCGAGGGUCUUGUGGAAUCUGAGAAACCUGGGUGGCCAUCCUGGCCUAGUUACUCUCUGGCUGUGUGACCUUGGGUGAAUGCCUUACCCUCUCUGAACCUCAGUUUCCUCAACUUUGAAGUGAAGAAAGUAAUAGCUACCUCAGAGUUGUGAGGAUUAAGGAUGGUGCCUGUCACAUAGAAGGCACUCAUUAAACGGAAGCUGUCAUUACUAGUUAGUCCUCAGCCAAUUGCAUGAAUGUUGGAGAGUAGGGAGGGAACUAAGGUUUCUUGAGCCUAUGCAAUGUACCAAGCACAGUACCUACAUUCUCUUACUUAAUCCUUCCAACAGCCUGAACUGCUACCC
rnacentral:lncRNA from 1 species